rnacentral:rRNA from 1 species
GACGAACGCUGGCGGCGUGCUUAACACAUGCAAGUCGAACGGAAAGGCCCUGCUGUUGUUGGGUGCUCGAGUGGCGAACGGGUGAGUAACACGUGAGUAGCCUGCCCUUGACUUUCGGAUAACUUCAUGAAACUGGGGCUAAUACCGGCUACGAUCUCCUGCUGCAUGGUGUGGGUUGGUAAGUUUCGGCGGUUGGGGCUGGACUCGCGGGUUAUGGGCUUGUGGGUGGGUUGGUGGGUCACCAAGGCUUUGACGGGUAGCAGGCCGGAGCGGGUGACCGGCCACAUUGGGACUGGGAUACGGCCCAGCCUCCUGCGGGAGGCAGCAGUGGGGAAUAUUGCACAAUGGGCGGAGGCCUGAUGCAGGAACGCCGCGUGCGGGAUGACGGCCUUCGGGUUGUAAACCGAUUUCGCAUGUGACGAAGCGUGAGAGAAGGUAAUGGGUAAAGAAGCACCGGCUAACUACGUG